CAUUCCUAUAUGCAUAAAGAAGUAUAUUGAUAAUGGGAAAUGUGAAAAAGCAUCUAUAGAUAUUUGAAAUACUCAAUAUUAUAGUUGCUUCAAAGCUGUGAAUUCUUUUAGCCACGCAACCUUAGGAAACACACAGACACUGAGUGCAAAUACAAUUACAUGCCUGAUCACCUUGACCUGCUGGUGUACGCUACACACGUCAACCCAGAAAGAUCACGUAUGUGUGUGUGCAGCUGAGACUCUUGCUUAGCAGAAGGGUGCUAUCUGCCCAACCUUCCCAUCUGACUGACCUCAGGGGCUUCACUGGGGUUUGUCUGUAACCCUAAACACGCACAGGGAGCUGAACUGCUGUCCAAAUAAGCAUUUUCCUUUUAUUUUUUUUUUUGGUAGAUCUAGGAACUCAGGUCUUUGGGGAGCUAAAGACUGUCAUUAAACUUAACAGACUGGCAGCACACGCUUAAUCAUAUAGAACCUCUUCGCUUUAUGUGGUGUUUGAAAUCCAGAAGCUCAUUAAGAACAUGUGGUGCUACCUCCUUGACAUGAAACUUCUGCCUCUUCUACCUCCAUUUCCCACCCUCUGAAGGCCUCUAGGAGUCUGAGUUUUGCAAACACUGAAUAUUUAGCACAUGAAAUGGAGCGCGAUGGCUGUUCCACGUUUCACGACGGAUGCGGAGAACCAAGCAGCUGUGUUCACGUCUAUAGCGGAUUUUUUGAUCAGCAAGUACUUGUGAAUGGGAAAACUAUGUAUGCUUUGACAGCAGAACUCCACUGUUCCUGCCAGUGCUUCUGUGGAAAAGCAAACUGCACUUAGCCAGGAGCACCACAGACACGAUGGCCAGAGCUUGACUGCAUGUGGAAAUUAGAGUCAAAACACAACAGUUCCCAGAUGCUAUCUGUAUCUUCCUUUGGAGACCCUUUACUUCUCUGUAAAGCUCUUCCUUUCUUUCUUUUUUGUUUUUUUUAAGAACCCUUUUUGUUUUAAUUUUAUUCCUGUGACUAUCAGGUUUGGAUAAUAGACCAGCUAGUUAUUUUCUGCAGAUUUACUGAAGUCUCAUAAAUUUGUUCUGUAAUAGUGCUCUUUAGCAUCUGCUGUUUGGUUACUUGCAUCUGUGUUGAUCACUGCUGUUGUUGUUUUAAUUAUCUUCAUAAUAGCUUGCUCCAAAUUCACAGACCCUGGAGCCUUACAUCAACAGAAAUCUUCCUUUAAAAAAAAUUUAAAAAGAGUAAUUGUUGCCCAGAGUCAAACCUAAGCUGUUAUAUAGUGGUGGUGUCUAUUGUGCGAUCUGCUAUGUUGCGCCUGUACUGUUUUUGGGUUGUCUCCGGUUGAACAUCUUUAUACUAAUCUGAGUUACUGUAAUAAAAUGAUUACAACA